UACGGAGGGGGCUAGCGUUGUUCGGAAUUACUGGGCGUGAAGCGCACGUAGGCGGCUUAUUAAGUCAGCGGUGAAAGACCAGGGCUCAACCCUGGAACUGCCAUUGAUACUGAUAAGCUUGAGUAAAGUUGAGGUAGGCGGAAUUGACGGUGUAGCGGUGAAAUGCUUAGAUAUCGUCAAGAACACCGAUUGCGUAGGCAGCUUACUAAGCUUUAACUGACGCUGAGGCACGAAAGUGUGGGGAUCAAACAGG
rnacentral:rRNA from 1 species